rnacentral:lncRNA from 1 species
AUCACCUAUAUGGAUGCAAUGCAGAGGUCUGAUUCUGAUAAAUGGCUUACAGCCAUGAAAUCUGAAAUGAAGUCUAUGAAGAUCAAUGAUAUAUAGACAUUAGUUGACCCACCUGAAGGGGUUAAACUCAUAGGGUGUAAAUAGAUCUUCAAAAAGAAGAAGGAUAUAGACGGAAAGGUAGAGAUCUAUAAAGUCUAUUUGGUUGUCAAUGAUUAUC